rnacentral:tRNA from 1 species
GAAGAAUUAGUUAAAAAAUAACAUUAAAAUGUCAUUUUAAAAUUACUUUUAAAGUAUUCUUCU